rnacentral:rRNA from 1 species
CCUGGCGGCCUUAGCGCGGUGGUCCCACCUGACCCCAUGCCGAACUCAGAAGUGAAACGCCGUAGCGCCGAUGGUAGUGUGGGGUCUCCCCAUGCGAGAGUAGGGAACUGCCAGGA